AGAAUAUUCUGCAUUUCGUGAAGCCAGUUAUGGUCAUUCUACAUUAGAGAUUAAAAACAAAACCCACGCAUUCUAUCACUGGAACCGAAAUAAUGAUGGGAAAAAAGUACCAACUGAUGAUGUGAUAUUCCACAAUCAGUACUGGGCAAGCAACAUGGGGAGGAGGCGACUGAAGAAGAAUCGUUCUAAGGCCGGAGAGGAAUGAAUUGCUUAAAAUAUUUGGAUCAUAUUGCUUACACAUUUAUCAGAUCAUGCUUUCUAGCUAUUCUUUUAAAAUCUUGAGGAUUUUUUAGUUGAACUGCAAUUUUGGCAUGAAUCGCUCAGGCAU